AAUCAACGCUGGCGGCGUGCCUCAGACAUGCAAGUCGAACGCGAAAUUUCCCUUCGGGGAGAAAGUAGAGUGGCGCACGGGUGAGUAACACGUAGGUAAUUUGCCUUUGGGUGGGGAAUAACUCAGGGAAACUUGAGCUAAUACCGCAUAAUGCAGCGGCUCGACAUCGAGACAGUUAGUUAAAGCGGGGGAUUGGAGCAAUCCGACCUCGCGCCUAAAGAGAAGCCUGCGGCAGAUUAGCUAGUUGGUAAGGUAAUGGCUUACCAAGGCGACGAUCUGUAACCGGCCUGAGAGGGCGGUCGGUCA
rnacentral:rRNA from 1 species